AACAACCGUUUUAGAAACCGAGGCUGCAGCGGCAGCUAGACAGGAGCCCCAACCCAUCCCCAGGAUCAACACAGACUGGUGGUGUGUGCAUUUGAGGCAAUUGCGCUCCAAUGACAACAAUUGAAGAAUGUUUGUGCUGCAGAUCAUUUGAAUAUGUGACUACAAUUCUUAGACAUGGAGGAACUUGAUAAUGAGGAGCAGUUAGUUAGCUUUUGAGACCACAUGGAUUUUGCUGCCCACAAAACUCUGUCCUGGAAACAUCUUCCCUUUUCCAAAAAGGAAUUGGAGACACAACGCUGUUCCAGCUGUGCCAAAUGGACAUUUAUCCAACGAGUAAGUAGUCAAACUUUACUUUAUUGAAUGAUCGCUCAUCAUUAACCUCUAUGAGCGGAACCGUUAGUGGGUUGAUGUUUUGACAUUAGCCCAUACCACUAUAUAGCCUAUAUCUAUUUAUCACAAUGUUUUUAGGAUAUUCUAUUCCCCAUCUCCACUGCUUUGGCAGUCAGCUACAUAAACUAACCGCAAAUGUUUUAGGUGGAAAAGUACACAUUUCCUGACUCAAAAUCGAUAAUGCUUUCAAUAAAACAACAACUUUGUCCACAGUUCACGGCUUUGUGAAUCUUGCAUUCACUGACCAAGGAGCAGAGCUAGGCCUGCACCCAGCAACAUCACGAGUCACAUGACCCGUUUUUGCAGCUGUCUCAGUUCUGCAAUCCAUGGAGAGAGAGGGGGAGAGGACAAACUCCACUGAACUAGUUUCAAUGUAUGGAAUCACUUGAGAGUUUCUGGAUUUUGGGAUUGAUACAGGAUUGAAAUGAACGCUUCCAGCUCAUACAACAGACAGAUGCCAGGCAGUGUCUCCUGGCUCCGUGUGCGCCUUAGCCACAGUACAGUCCCUGAAUGCUUUGAAUGUCCAUGCCACAUAAACAACGAAAGCUGAAUAUGACAGCUACUCCAGCAGAUGAUCUCAGUAGUGAAAUACUGCUCUAACGACAGGAGAGAAGGAAGUAGAGGGACAGACACCCCCAGGUGCAAGCGUGUCAGCACACAGGUUGAGGAGGGAGACAAAAACACACAUAAAGGGAGGCUGACUGAUGAGUGAUGACUUCUACAGCCAAACUGUGCAAGUUGAGGUCUCUCUUUUUUUCACUCCUUUUCCGUCCAUUGUAAAGGCUCCCAUACAUACCAUGCAGGUCUGCUGCUGCGCCUGAUGCACUACAGAUGCGCCUGAUGCACUACAGAUGCAGCAGACAGAGGUCACGGGUAAGACCAAGCCCACACCUGUAAGGCUUUUGCUGUUUCCAUUGGUUCAAACCUGUUACUCACCCAGGUGAGUCAAAUGUGUUAUGGAGUAGGUUAGGUAGGUUAGUGUUAUCAUAAUUACACACUACACUACACUUUAAUACUCCAGGUGGUAGCACCAACUGGGUCAGGUUAUGCUCUGCCAGGAAGCCUUGAUGAUUACUCAGGUGUUG
rnacentral:lncRNA from 13 species